rnacentral:rRNA from 1 species
ACUUAAGCAUAUCAAUAAGCGGAGCAAAAGAAACCAACAGGGAUUGCCCUAGUAACGGCGAGUGAAGCGGGAAGAGCUCAAAUUUGAAAUCUGGUAGCCUUCGGUUGCCCGAGUUGUAAUCUAGAGAAAUGUUUUCCGUGCCGGCCCAUGUACAAGUCCCUUGGAACAGGGCGUCAUAGAGGGUGAGAAUCCCGUCCUUGACAUGGACCCCCGGUGCUUUGUGAUACAUUUUCAACGAGUCGAGUUGUUUGGGAAUGCAGCUCAAAAUGGGUGGUGAAUUCCAUCUAAAGCUAAAUAUUGGCGAGAGACCGA